GCAAUGGACGAAAGUCUGACCGAGCAACGCCGCGUGAGUGAAGAAGGUUUUCGGAUCGUAAAGCUCUGUUGUAAGUCAAGAACGUGUGUGAGAGUGGAAAGUUCACACAGUUACGGUAGCUUACCAGAAAGGGACGGCUAACUACGUGCCAGCAGCCGCGGUAAUACGUAGGUCCCGAGCGUUGUCCGGAUUUAUUGGGCGUAAAGGGAGCGCAGGCGGUCAGGAAAGUCUGGAGUAAAAGGCUAUGGCUCAACCAUAGUGUGCUCUGGAAACUGUCUGACUUGAGUGCAGAAGGGGAGAGCGGAAUUCCAUGUGUAGCGGUGAAAUGCGUAGAUAUAUGGAGGAACACCAGUGGCGAAAGCGGCUCUCUGGUCUGUCACUGACGCUGAGGCUCGAAAGCGUGGGUAGCGAACAGGAUUAGAUACCCUGGUAGUCCACGCCGUAAACGAUGAGUGCUACGUGUUAGGCCCUUUCCGGGGCUUAGUGCGGAGCUAACGCAAUAAGCACUCCGCCUGGGGAGUACGACACGCAA
rnacentral:rRNA from 1 species